rnacentral:rRNA from 1 species
GACGAACGCUGGCGGCGUGCUUAACACAUGCAAGUCGAACGGAAAGGCCCUGCUUUUGUGGGGUGCUCGAGUGGCGAACGGGUGAGUAACACGUGAGUAACCUGCCCUUGACUUUGGGAUAACUUCAGGAAACUGGGGCUAAUACCGGAUAGGAGCUCCUGCUGCAUGGUGGGGGUUGGAAAGUUUCGGCGGUUGGGGAUGGACUCGCGGCUUAUCAGCUUGUUGGUGGGGUAGUGGCUUACCAAGGCUUUGACGGGUAGCCGGCCUGAGAGGGUGACCGGCCACAUUGGGACUGAGAUACGGCCCAGACGACUACGGGAGGCAGCAGUGGGGAAUAUUGCACAAUGGGCGGAAGCCUGAUGCAGCAACGCCGCGUGCGGGAUGACGGCCUUCGGGUUGUAAACCGCUUUCGCCUGUGACGAAGCGUGAGUGACGGUAAUGGGUAAAGAAGCACCGGCUAACUACGUG